GUGAACGCUGGCGGCGUGCUUAACACAUGCAAGUCGAACGGUAACAGGAAAUAGCUUGCUAUUUUGCUGACGAGUGGCGCACGGGUGAGUAAACUAUAGUUAAUGUACCCCAAAGACUGGGAUAGCCACUGGAAACGGUGAUUAAUACUAGAUACACCUUCAUAUCAUAAGGUAUGAAGGGAAAUGUCUUUUCGCUUUGGGAUCAGACUAUAUCCUAUCAGCUAGUUGGUGAGGUAAUGGCUCACCAAGGCAAUGACGGGUAGCGGUUCUGAGAGGAUGAUCCGCCACACUGGUACUGAGACACGGACCAGACUCCUACGGGAGGCAGCAGUGAGGAAUAUUGCACAAUGGGCGAAAGCCUGAUGCAGCAACGCCGCGUGGAGGAUGACGCAUUUCGGUGUGUAAACUCCUUUUAUAUGUCAAGAAAAUGACGGUAGCAUAUGAAUAAGCACCGGCUAACUCCGU
rnacentral:rRNA from 1 species